UACAAUGUGGAUGCAUUCCCGCCGUCAGCUGUUUUUAUCCUCACAAUUUGACUGUGCCGCUACGUAGGAGCAUACAUGGCGUCCCCCACUUGUGUCUUCGUGGCUCUGCUAAUGCUAGCAGUGGGACAGCAGUGUCUCGCCGUCCAUCCCCUACUUGUUUUUCUCAUUGACGGUUUCCGUUACGACUACAUGGACAACCUGGACUCACUACCUGGAUUUAAAGAGCUUGUUUCCAGGGGGGUGAAAGUGGACUACAUGACGCCGGAUUUCCCCAGUUUAUCCUACCCCAACUACUACUCGUUAAUGACAGGCCGCCACUGUGAAGUUCAUCAGAUGACUGGAAACUACAUGUGGGAUGAAUCCUCCGGGAAAGAGUUUCUGAUUGGCACCAAUCCUGACAGCAGAUUGCCUCUUUGGUGGAAUGGAUCAGAACCGCUAUGGGUCACUUUGCAGAAUCUUGGAAAGAAAGUUUUCAUGUACUACUGGCCAGGCUGUGAGGCAGAGAUUCUGGGGGUUCGCCCAACCUUCUGUGAAGAGUAUGUCUACAACCCAUCUAUGCAGAACCUAACUGAUUCCAUUGAAAAUGCUCUCAACUUACUCAGGUCAGGCGAUGCAGACAUGGCAGCAGUAUAUUAUGAGAAAAUCGACGUGGAGGGACACCACUUUGGCCCAGACUCUCAUCAGACCAAAACAGCGGUACAGGAGCUGGACUUGGCCAUGCAGACGCUCAACAACAAAAUCAAAGAGAAGAAUAUGGUGAAUCAGAUCAACAUCGUGCUGUUUUCAGACCACGGUAUGACCAAAAUUGAUUGGAUGGAGAGGGUUGUCGAGCUGGACAAGUACAUCAACAUGUCAGACGUUGUCAAGAUGAUGGACAAAGGACCAGUUGUCAGUUUGUGGGUCAAAGGAGAGAAGAUUCAAGAGGUCCACAUUGCUUUGUCCAAGAUCCCUAACAUGCACGUCUAUGCCAGAGAGGAAAUCCCGGAACGCUUCCAUUACAAAGGAGGAAAGUUUGUUGCCCCGCUGACCCUGGUGGCAGAGCCAGGCUGGUUCAUCGCCCAGAAUCGGGCUCAACUCCCAUACUGGAAAAAUGACUCCAGUGCGCAGCCCCUGGCAUGGCAAAAUGGCUGGCACGGUUACGACAAUGAAUUCCUCGACAUGGGUGGCUUUUUCAUGGCUGCAGGACCUGGUAAUACAGUGUUCCCUCGCUACAUCACUGUUUUGCGGAUGUGCAAUUUUGCAUUUUUUUAACAGCGUAUGAACACACGUGUGUUCUGCAUCCUUGUGGCGUAUUAGAGCGAUCUAUCGGUGCUCUGUUGUAUGUGUCUGUUAUUGUAUUUACUACUGCUACCAGUACAUGUGUAGCUCCACCUCCUCUCAGGUGUGUUUACAUGCCUGUACGAGCAUAUUAGGAACCCACAGUAGACAAUAGCCGGCUAAAUAUAGAGCCACGACAGUCCUUAUUGGCUAAGGGAGAACCCGCUCAUUGUUUUCUACGUCCUGAUUGGCUGUAGACCAUUGUCAAUCAAUCUCCUUCAUGCCAUCGCUAGCAAACUAGCUAACUGCGUGAGCUGCUUGCUAAAAAUUAAGUUGGCUACUUCGCAGAUUUGACUUAUUGCGCGCUAUUUUGGGAACCUAUUCCCCGCCAUAAACGAGGGAACACUUCUAAUCAUAAAUUGUAUUUGAGCUGUUUAUGCCUCAUUCUGCUUCAGCUUUGGGUGAUUGACGCUGUUGUAGAAAGAUACCUUCCACAUGAAGGCUACACACAGUUGACCUUUUAUCUUUGAUUGUAACUUCAUGCUUGCACUGAGCAGCCAGGACAGACAUACUUCAAGCAGAAUCUUCGGGCUGCACCUAUUCGAGCAGUAGAUGUCUAUAAUGUACUGUGUCGGACACUAGGAGUGGAACCUCUACCAAAUAAUGGGUCCUGGUCUCGGGUGAGGAAUCUCCUAAACGGUUCAGGUGGUCCGCACACG